UCCGGUUUGUCACCGGCAGUCUCAUUAGAGUGCCCUUGCGUAGCAACUAAUGAUAAGGGUUGCGCUCGUUGCGGGACUUAACCCAACAUCUCACGACACGAGCUGACGACAGCCAUGCAGCACCUGUGUCCACUUUCCCUUUCGGGCACCUAAUGCAUCUCUGCUUCGUUAGUGGCAUGUCAAGGGUAGGUAAGGUUUUUCGCGUUGCAUCGAAUUAAUCCACAUCAUCCACCGCUUGUGCGGGUCCCCGUCAAUUCCUUUGAGUUUUAAUCUUGCGACCGUACUCCCCAGGCGGUCGACUUCACGCGUUAGCUGCGUUACCGAAGGAGUUACCCUCCGACAACUAGUCGACAUCGUUUAGGGCGUGGACUAC
rnacentral:misc_RNA from 1 species